AUGUAUGCAUGGGGUUUUAAUAUCUAGUAUGUUUUUCAGCUUAAUAUCUGGUAUGUUCUCUAUGUGAGAACAAAACGAACAAAUUUUGGGAACUGGGAGUUGGAUUUGGUGGUUGCUCCACCUGCUCUGCAUAUACCUGGUAUUGAAGUGUUUCUAUGCACAAUGCAAUUUCC